rnacentral:misc_RNA from 1 species
ACAUUGGCAUUGCAAUGCCAAUGUUGUGAGGUUUUCCUGUUUCUGCAAUACUAGUUUCUGCAUGUCAUAAUACAAUUCUGAGAAUUAAAAACUUCAACAAAUGAUCAAGGAAAAGACGAGAAAGAUAUAGAUGUGUAAUUGUAAAGCACACUUGAAGAGAGUUUGAUGUGAUGCUAAUACGAUGGAGUGCUGGACAAUUAGACACCAUUAUAGAUGAUAGCAUGAUACUUCGUAAGUUCAGAUCAGCAAACCUGCCAGGGAAGUUGAAAUGAUAAAAAGUAAUGGAAAAUAAAGAAGGAAGAGCAAACUCCACCUCCCGUACUCCGCAGAAAGCAAGAAUACUUUUUGAGAUUUGAAAUGCAUGGGAAAAUAAAUGGAGUAACAAACUUACUUGCGACAAUGUACUAGCCGUAUGUUCUGCAGGCGAGGAAGAUCCAAGGACACUGAAGUCAGUAGGUUGCAAUUGUCAAGCUCCAAAACCUCCAACAUAUAACUAUGAGAUAUUGCAGCCAUAGAGGCUGAUGUGAUUCCUUCACAGCUAUGAAGCUUCAGAACUGUCAACAUCGGCAGUCUUACAGACUCAAGUGAUAUGUUUGGACAAUAUGAUGCAUUAAGAAUAUGGAGAUUAGCACAUGUGAGAGCUAUUUCACGUAAAGUUUCAUCACUAACACAUGAACAAUUUGACAUAUCUAAAGACUCCAACUGAGGACAUGAAGUUGCUGCUGAACGGAUUGCUGCAUCUGAAAGCUUGUGGCAAGAACCUAUAUCAAGCAGAUGCAAAAGAGGACAACUGAGUACUGCCUGUGCCAUGUUGCUGCGCUUCAAAGACAAAGUUUCAAGCUGUGGACACCUGACCGAUAUCCUAACCACACGGCAUUUUGUAAGUUGAAGAUGACGCAAUCUAUCAUGGUUUAUUGGGAUCUCCUGAACACCAUUACCCAGAGUAGCAUCAUUGACAUUCAAACUCUUCAACAUGUUACACUCUGCUAAGGCAUGGAAAAAAAGAUCCCCUAGUUGUCCUCUUCCCAAAGUUAAAACCUCAAGAUUUCUUAACGAAGAGACUGCUUUCAUAACAAGUAAGUGGAUGUUGGGAGCACCAUGAAUAUUCACUUCAGUAGCAUUUGGGUAUCUCCGACACAUGUCUUCAAAUUGAUCAACAGAAAUGUUUCGGCUCUCAAAAUUCAGACACCUCCAGAAGUCUUCAUGUGCACUGGCUGCUCGCCACUGCCUACAGACCAUUGCAGCUCGACAGAGAUUAAUGUGGUCCAAGAAAGAAAAAACCAUAUGCAAUAAAUCAUCUGUAAGGUCCAUCCGAACUUCUACAUCUUCUGACUUAGAAGUGCCACCCUCAUCUCCAUCAUCUCUCCCACCACUAGAGUCACAGGGAUUCUCGUUGCUGCUGUUAUUCCACAUGAAAUUAUGAUAAAAAAUCUCAUUCCUUGACAGAACAGAAGAGCUCUCACUUAAACUAAAAUCUCUGUCAGCUGAACUAGAAUCAACAUCUGAAGACAUAGCAGCUACAUAAUGACAAUCAUGAGAACCAGAGUAAACUUUGGCUCGCUUAUUAUGCGUAUCCCGAUCACAAUCCUCGUUACCACUCGCUGUCGCAGCCGCCGCCGCUUCUGCCGUGGAACUACUACCCUCUCCCUGGACUCUCCGUGCAAAACGAAUUAGAGUCUUCCUCAAUGGAAGCGGAUCAAACACAUGCACCGCCUCGUCUAAAGCAGGUGCCACCUCGUCCCAAUAGGCACCGCCACCACCCAUCGCUCUAUUCAUAUCCUCGAACAAUCUCAAGGGUUCCUGAUCAUCACGCUCCCCCCUACUGUCAGUCAAUGCAAGCGCUAAUCUCGUCGCUGCAGCUUCCUCAGCGUCCUCAGCGUUAUUCCCAAUGUUGCUCUCAGGGUCUUUGUCAUUCUCAAAAAUGCCCUCCCUCAUGGCUUUAUCCUGAACGUUAUUACCCUUCAAUGGUGCUUCUUCGUCUUCGAAAGUGAAGCAUAGGCAACACCAAAUCUUCAUGCAAUUGAAGGUAAAGGCAGCACCUUUACGAACCCUAGGUCACGAUCUGAAGCAUUUCCACCCCCGAAUUAGAACAAAAGCCGUAAUUUUGAGUGAAAUUGGAGAGCUGCUCUAGAGAACUUUGCCGCCAAACAACGGAAUCGAGCUUGAAUUCUGCGCAAUUAGAGCUGGAGGACGAUUCGGGUCGAUAUAGGCAUGCAUAAACGCAGCCAGAGCAGAGAGAGCCAGAGAGAGAGGGAGAACAGAGAAGCAGCUCAAAGAGAGAGAAGGGAAGGAGGAAGGGAAAGGGGAUUUGAACGGAUCUGAUCGGAUCUUGCGAGCUGCUUGCUGAGGAUGUUUUUAUUUUGUUAAAGCUUGAAAAAGAGAUCGGCGCUAAU